rnacentral:lncRNA from 1 species
CUUGAAUUAAAAUGCGUGAACUGAGCUACCAUCACUUCAUCCUGUAAAUCCUUUCAUAAUAGGGUCAACCUAGUUCUGAGCUUAUCCGGGUGAUAGUUCAGAUUCAGACUCUGAGUAAGCUGCCUCCUUUGUUAUUGAACAAAUGGAUAUACGAUCAGACUGAAGCAUUUCUCAGUGGAUUGCUUAUGAGGCCUUAUUACCUUGCAGUACUGCUUCAGAAAAAAACAUGGUUGUAAAUUAAGGACACAGUGAAAAACGCCAUUCUCUUAUCUAGAUGGUGUCUCAGCUGGACUCCGCUGACUUAGUAAGCCAACAUCACGUCAGAUGAAAAGAUGAUUUUUUGACCAAGUUGUUGUCGUGCAAAGGUUCAAAGUCAGAAACCUUGUGAUUGCUGCAGAGGAAUCUUCCACCAGGAGUACAAAAUGCUUAGCAAAAUAAUUCUAAUGAUUGCUGAGAAUUAUUCAAGCCUCUCAGUCAUUAAUAUACUUUUAUAGGGGUACUUAAAAUGAAUAAAACUUCCAGCAAAGAGAAAUUCAUACAUGUAUUAACUUUAAAGCAAAUAAUCUAAAAUUAAUCUCUAUUAAUUGUGGAAUAUUUAAUUUUUCAGAAACCUCCAGUAUUUUGUAAAUAUGAUUCUAUUGGACAAACCCUAGGAAAUAUUGUUAUGCAGCUGAAUUCUGGGCUUUGUUUUCUGUUAAAUGGCAACAGAAUAUAACAGCCGGAAACUCAUUUCCUGGGAUUACAAAUGAACUCUCUGAAUCCUUGUUCUAGUUGCUGUCUUCGUGGUUAUGGUAACAUGAAGAAAAACUUCAUGUCUUUGGUGAUAAAAUCUACACAAUGAAUAAGAACAUAUGCAUAAUUUGCAUUGGUUUUGCAAAUCAGCAUAUUCAUAAUAUUUUCUCUCCUUUCAAGACUUUGAGCUGAUGGAGGGCUGGGAUACCACGUCUAAUUGUUAUGGAUGUCCCUACACCAUUUCAGCAUUGCUGUAAAUCGCGGUCCCAGACUGGCCUGUUGAUCCCAGUAUGAGCGCAAGAGACACAUGAAGCGGAGCCAAGUUGAUCCAGCCAAGACCAGCCUGGAUUAGUUUACUCCCAGAUUACAUUCAGACACGGACAACACCUUUUUUCUGACCCUAAACCGUGUUCUGGCACCAAGAGAAGCACUCUAGAAUCUGAGUUCUUUCUGUGAGCUGCUGCCUAAAUUCAGAGUCCUAGAGAAGACUAUUAAUGAUGGUACACAGAAGACAGAGAGAGAUAAACUGCAUCAGUUUCUUUAUGUGCAGGAGGACCUACAUGAUCUUAGAAGAGAACCGACCUUUUAAAACCUCAUUUCAACCUCAACGUAUGACCUCAGAGAAACUCAUUUGCUCUCUGGAAAGUUUUUAAGAUUUACAACAGAGGUACAUUCAUGGAAUGAAUGAUUCCUGAAGAAACACAUUGUUGUGGGUUCAAUUGUGUGUCCUCAAAAGCUAUGGGGGAGCCGUAUUCCCUAGCACUGAUGAAUGUAUCUUACUUGGAAGAAAGGUCUUUGCAGAUGCAAUCAAGUUGAGAUGUGAUCAUAUUCGAAUCAGGCAGGUCCUAACGACCAACAUGACUGGUGUCCUCGUAAGAAGAGAAAAAUGGCAGGUGAAGACAGAGACACACAGGGAGCAGAACAGGGGAUGACAGAAGCAGAGACUGGAGUGAUGGAGCUGUAAGCCAAGGGAUGCCAAGGAUGGGCAGCCACCACCCGAAGUUAGGAAGAGGCAAAGGAGGACUUUAACCACAGUCAAAGAGGGAGUGUGGCUCUUCUAACAUCAUGAUAUCAGACUUUGAGCCUCUAGAACUGUGAGAGAAUAAAUUUCUGUUGCUUUAAGACACCCAGUUAGUGGUACUUUGUUAGGGAGCCCCUAGGAAACUAACACACACAGAAAAGAGAAUUUCAGUUGCAAAUGUAGAAACUGUAAGGUAGUUUUCUUAGGAGAUUCAGGCCUCCACUAAGUAAUUGCCUGAUUGAGAAAGUUACUUGGAUUGCUGGUCUUUUUCUGGAGGAGUGGCAUUUCCAAUUUUGGUGCUGAUCUGUAGACAACUGUUGGAAAUGGUUGUUUCAGUUCAGCAAUUGGUCUUGUCCUUUCUGACUUGAGCAUCGAUCUAAGUAGUUUCCAAGCCCCAUCGCUCUUUAGCAGUCAUAAAGCGAAACUAUCUCCCCUCUCAGAAUGAUGAAAGAGUGCCUUGUAAAAUUACUUGUAGAGACAUGAAUUUUAAAAUAUUUUCUUUUUCCUCUCAUAGGAAAAAAAAUCCUUCAGCUUGGGCAAGUUCUGAUGCAACAUAAAAGUAAUGCUGUUAAAAUUUCAAUCAUUGCCAUGGUUUAGCAGUGUGUUCACAUCAACCACAUGUACCCAGAAAGUCUGUCAACUCAGCAAUAACCAAGAAUUCUGCUUAUUACUCUCACUACAAAAAUCCAUGAAUUAAAUUAUAACUGUUUGCAUUUGAACGUGUGUAAUCACAUUUUUACAUUAUGCUCUUUUAAAAGAACCGUUUAUCUUGUGCUUGUUUCACAAACUUAAAAAUCAAGGAUUCUUUCUUUAUGGGCUGAUGGAAAUAUUCUAAAGUCAGACUGUGGUGAUAUUUCACAACUUUUUAAAUUUAUAAAAAUCAUCGAAUUGUACACUUAAAAUGAGGCAAUUUUGUGGGAUGCAAAUUAUGAAUCAAUAAAGCUGCUUAAAAAAAAAUA